GACGAACGCUGGCGGCGUGCCUAAUACAUGCAAGUUGAGCGCUGAAGGUUGGUACUUGUACCAACUGGAUGAGCAGCGAACGGGUGAGUAACGCGUGGGGAAUCUGCCUUUGAGCGGGGGACAACAUUUGGAAACGAAUGCUAAUACCGCAUAAAAACUUUAAACACAAGUUUUAAGUUUGAAAGAUGCAAUUGCAUCACUCAAAGAUGAUCCCGCGUUGUAUUAGCUAGUUGGUGAGGUAAAGGCUCACCAAGGCGAUGAUACAUAGCCGACCUGAGCGGGUGAUCGGCCACAUUGGGACUGAGACACGGCCCAAACUCCUACGGGAGGCAGCAGUAGGGAAUCUUCGGCAAUGGACGAAAGUCUGACCGGGCAACGCCGCGUGAGUGAAGAAGGUUUUCGGAUCGUAAAACUCUGUUGGUAGAGAAGAACGUUGGUGAGAGUGGAAAGCUCAUCAAGUGACGGUAACUACACAGAAAGGGACGGCUAACUACGUG
rnacentral:rRNA from 1 species